GGAGGAAGAGGAUCGUCGCCUGAAGCAUCAUCAAGAUCAAAAUUGUCUUCAUGAUAAGGUGGAAGAGAGUUAUCACCAAACGUUCGAGACCCUUCUGUGAUCAGGUUCCGACGAUAAUUUAUUGUCCAGUAGUCGUUGUUUAUGAGAGUCAUCGGAAUCAUCUUCACUAUCAUUAUCUAUCGAUGGAGAUUUUUUUAUUGAUUUAUGUGGUUGGUGAGGUUUGCUAUUUUCAUCUGGAAUUGAGCGUUUCUCAUCCUCAUGAAUCGUAAACGUAUUCAUAUCUUCAGAAUUUGGUAAAUAAUAACUGUCUAAAUAAAGACACCAAAAGACAAUUGUUGGAAUAAUUAAUGACAAAAUCAUACAAAAAAUACGUACGCAUCAUGAAAUAAUGUAGAUUGAUGACCAUUAUGUACAUCAAAAUAAUAAUAUUAUUCAUAUAUUUUCGUCAAUUA